rnacentral:rRNA from 1 species
AUUGAACGCUGGCGGAAUGCUUUACACAUGCAUGUCGAACGGCAGCACGGGUGCUUGCACCUGGUGGCGAGUGGCGGACGGGUGAGUAAUGCAUCGGAACGUGCCGUAUAGUGGGGGAUAACGCAUCGAAAGGUGUGCUAAUACCGCAUACGCCCUGAGGGGGAAAGUGGGGGACCGUAAGGCCUCACGGUAUACGAGCGGCCGAUGUCCGAUUAGCUAGUUGGUGGGGUAAAGGCUCACCAAGGCGACGAUCGGUGGCUGGUCUGAGAGGACGACCAGCCACACUGGGACUGAGACACGGCCCAGACUCCUACGGGAGGCAGCAGUGGGGAAUUUUGGACAAUGGGGGCAACCCUGAUCCAGCCAUUCCGCGUGAGUGAAGAAGGCCUUCGGGUUGUAAAGCUCUUUUGUCAGGGAGGAAAUCCUUAGCGUUAAUACCGUUGGGGGAUGACAGUACCUGAAGAAUAAGGACCGGCUAACUACGUGCCAGCCGCCGCAGUAA